UACGUAGGAGGCAAGCGUUGUCCGGAAUUACUGGGCGUAAAGCGCACGUAGGUGGCGACGUAAGUCGGGUGUGAAAGCCCCGGGCUCAACCUGGGAAUUGCAUUCGAGACUGCAUUGCUGGAGUACGGAAGAGGAAGGCGGAAUUCCCGGUGUAGCGGUGAAAUGCGUAGAUAUCGGGAGGAACAUCAGUGGCGAAAGGCGGCCUCUGGUC
rnacentral:rRNA from 1 species